rnacentral:misc_RNA from 1 species
AACCAUAGAAACCUGCGGAGUACCUGCGGAAGGAUCAUUACAGAGUGUGACCCCCUGUAAAAAGGGGGGUACCUCCCGUCCUUUGCAGGCCCUUUAGGGUCUUUUACACUUUGCUUCGGUGGGGUAACCCACCGGAACACCCUCAAAAAUUCUGAUUUUAAAAUUGUUCAGUCUGAGAAUUUUGAAAAUAAAAUAAAAACUUUCAGCAAUGGAUCU